GAUGAACGCUGGCGGCGUGCCUAAUACAUGCAAGUCGAGCGAACGGACGAGAAGCUUGCUUCUCUGAUGUUAGCGGCGGACGGGUGAGUAACACGUGGAUAACCUACCUAUAAGACUGGGAUAACUUCGGGAAACCGUAGCUAAUACCGGAUAAUAUUUUGAACCGCAUGGUUCAAAAGUGAAAGACGGUCUUGCUGUCACUUAUAGAUGGAUCCGCGCUGCAUUAGCUAGUUGGUAAGGUAACGGCUUACCAAGGCAACGAUGCAUAGCCGACCUGAGAGGGUGAUCGGCCACACUGGAACUGAGACACGGUCCAGACUCCUACGGGAGGCACCGGUAGGGAAUCUUCCGCACUGGGCGAAAGCCUGACGGAGCAACGCCGCGUGAGUGAUGAAGGUCUUCGGAUCGUAAAACUCUGUUAUUAGGGAAGAACAUAUGUGUAAGUAACUGUGCACAUCUUGACGGUACCUAAUCAGAAAGCCACGGCUAACUACGUG
rnacentral:rRNA from 1 species